AUCAUCGUUAGCGCAGCUGAUGAAGGAUCCCUGGUGUUUGCACGUAAGUGUCAACUGUUUCUAUGUUUAUAUGCAUAGAGAGUAAGGUCUGGGUGAGACGGGCGCCAGCCGCCGCGGUUAUACCUGCAGCUCAAGUGGUGGUCGCUAUUAUUGGGCCUAAAACGUCCGUAGCCGGUUUAGAAAAUGCUUGGGUAAAUCGUGCCGCUCAACGGUACGAAUUCCGGGUAGACUGCUAAACUUGAGACCGGGAGAGGCUAGAGGUACUCCUGGGGUAGGGGGAAAUUCUGUAAUCUUAGGGGGACCACCAGGGGGAAAGGCGUCUAGCUAAAACGGGUCUGACGGUGAGGGACAAAGCCUUGGGCGGCAAACCGAAUUAGAUACCCGGGUAGUCCAGGGUGUAACGCCUGCUGGUUUGAUUUGUGGGGGUCCAGGCCCAAUCGGGGCCGGAAAGAAGUUUUUAGGCAGGCUGCCUGGGAAGUCCAAUCGAAAAUGGAAACUUAAAGAAAUUGGCGGGGGACCACGCAACGGGGGGACGGGCGUUUAUUGAUUCAACGCCGGAAAUUCACGAGGCGACGUACUGGAGGCAGGCGAGACCUGCAGGAUUUCCAAAGUGGUCAGGCGCGUAGUCUACCGAAGGCGUCGGUAGUCAAACACGAACUCUUUAAUCAACUGAAUCGCUUCAGACAUAAAGAACCGUGGGAAGCAAGAAGCGGCCACGUAGUAGUUCCUAACUCGGUACCGCGCUAAAGUAGCAUGGUCGACCAAGUAGGAUCGACUUCAGUCGACGGUUGACCCCCGGAUGAUCGGAAGCGACAUCCGGGAAUGCCCCCCUCCCACCGAGGCACUGUAUCGGGAGUCUAGGGAAUCAUUGGAAAUUGG
rnacentral:rRNA from 1 species